rnacentral:rRNA from 1 species
AUGGAGGCGGCGGCGGCGGCCGUGGGCGGGGAGGACGACGGGAGGGGUCGGAAGGGAAGCUGGUACGCGGUGGGGGAGCGCGCGGUGCUGGUGCCGUACCUGCGGGAGCACGUGCCGCGGUACCACGAGUGGAUGCAAGACCCGGCGCUACUGGAGGCCACCGCGUCGGAGCCGCUCUCCCUCGCCCAGGAGUUCGAGGUCCACCGCUCCUGGACCCUCGACCCUCUCAAGCAUACUUUCAUAGUGCUGGAUAAGGAGUUGAUCGAGGGAGAGUUCGUGGUCGGGAACCCACACACCGAAGCUAUGAUUGGCGAUGUCAACAUCUAUAUGAAUGACCCUGAUGAUUUGGAACUUGCAGAGAUAGAGAUUAUGAUAGCUGAACAAAAGAGCCGUGGAAAGGGACUAGGUCAAGAAGUGACCUUAAUGAUGAUGUCGUUUGCAGUAGAGAAAUACGGAAUUCACACUUUCAGAGCAAAAAUUAGUGAUUCGAAUACUGCAUCGUUAAAGCUCUUCAGAAAAUUGGGCUUCAAGGAUGCUUCCCAUAGUGCAGUUUUUAAGGAGGUGACACUGGAGGCGCCUGCAGCUGAACUCCCAUUAAGCUCCCCUCUGACCGUAGGAAGUUGGUGA